GGCGGUGUAGCUCAGCUGGUUAGAGCGUUCGGUUCAUACCCGAAAGGUCGGGGGUUCGAUUCCCUCCGCCGCUACCU
rnacentral:tRNA from 2 species